CCACCGCCGGCGUCCUAGCCCCAGCCUUUCCGCGAGCCCUGAAUCCCAGCCGCGCCCGGGGCGGCGAGAUCUUGUACCCCACGGAGAAGGUGAGCUGUCUGCGUAAGUUCUGGCCUAAAGCAUGCUUCCACUACGAGACCUGCAAGAUGACACUCCACAUGAAGAACUACAAGGGCUAUGAGAAGAAGCCCCGGUGCAAUGCACACUACCCCACGGAGUCCUUCACCACGGCGGCGACAUCCCGGAAAAACAACAGAGUGAGCUCCAGAGUCAGGAUUUUCUUUUAAAAGUAGCAAAUGGAUCUUGGUGUCUAAAAUGGGUGUUAAUGAUGGACUGAUACAAUGGAAUACUGGAAAGGACUCUCCCAGUGCUAUCUCAUUAACCAGAUGACCUCCAGACAUUGUCAGUGCAACCCAGCCGAGGUGAUUGAUCACCAGAGAACAGAGCUGCCAGCCCUCUCAUGAAUGCUUGGCCAUGUCCACAAGAGUGAAUAUGUGAGAGAUUUGAGAACAAAUGAAAGAAAUUUCAACAAUCACAGAUACUGGAAAUGCCUAAAUGUGGGUCACUGGGGUCCAGUUAUCAAGGGUCAGGGAAGACCUGAUUAAGAAAAUGACAUUCUGGGAGAGGACCCUCAAGAUGGCAGAGGAGUAAGAUGCAGAGAUCACCUUCCUCCCCACAAAUACAUCAGAAAUACACCUACAUGUGGAACAACUCCUACAGAACACCAACUGAAUGCUGGCAGAAGACCUCAGACCUCCCAAAAGGCAAGAAACUUCCCACGUACCUGGGUAGGGCAAAAGAAAAAAGAAAAAACAGAGACAAAAGAAUAGAGAUGGGACCUGCACCUCUGGGAGGGAGCUGUGAAGGAGGAAAAGUUUCCACACACUAGGAAGCCCCUUCACUAGUGGAGAUGGGGAGUGGGUGGGGGUGAAGCUUUGGAGCCACAGAGGAGAGCGAAGCAACAGCAGUGCAGAGGGCAAAGCAGAGAGAUUCCCCCACAGAGUAUCAGUGCCGACCAGCCCUCACCAGCCCAAGAGGCUUGUCUGCUCACCCGCCAGGGUGGGUGGGUGCUGGGAGCUGAGGCUCAGGCUUCGGAGGUCGGGUCCCAGGGAGAGGACUGGGGUUGGCUGUGUGAACACAGCCUGAAGGGGGCUAGUGCCCCAGAGCUAGCCGGGAAGGAGGCGGGGAAAAAGUCUGGAACUGCCAAAGAGGAAAGAGACCAUUGUGUCAUAGUGUGCGAGGAGAGGAGAUUCAGAGCACCACCUAAACAAGCUCCAGAGAUGGGUGUAAGCCGCAGCUAUCAGCUUGGAUACCAGAGACGGGCAUGAACUGCUAAGGCUGCUGCUACAGCCACCAAGAAGCCUGUGUGCAAGCACAGGUCACUAUCCACAACUCCCUUCCCGGGAACCUGUGCAGCCCGCCACUGCCAGGGUCCCAUGAUCCCGGGACAACUUCCCCGGGAGAACACCUGGCGCACCUCAGGUUGUUGCAAUGUCAUACUGGCCUCUGCUACCGCAGGCUUGCCCUGCAUUCCAUACCCCUCCAUUCCCCCAGCCUGAGUGAGCCAGAGCCCCCUAAUCAGCUGCUCCUUUAACCCCGUCCUGUCUGGGCAGGGAACAGAUGCCCUCAGGUGACCUACACGCAGAGGUGGGGCCAAAUCCAAAGCUGAGCCCCUGGGAUCUGUGAGAACAAAGAAGAGAAAGGGAAAUCUCUCCCAGCAGCCUCAGCAUCAGCAGAUUAAAUCUCCACAAUCAACAUGAUGUACCCUGCAUCUGUGG